AACGUCGGUUCCCCGCAAGGGGCCUGGCCACAGGUGUUGCAUGGCUGUCGUCAGCUCGUGUCGUGGGAUGUUGGGUUAAGUCCCGCAACGAGCGCAACCCCUACUGUGUGUUGUAUCACUCACACGGGACUGCCGAGAGAAACUCGGAGGAAGGUGGGGAUGACGUCAAGUCAGCAUGGCCCUUACGCCCUGGGCUACACCCACGCUACAAUGGCCGGUACAACGGGCUGCGAAACCGCGAGGUGGAGCGAAUCCCUUAAAGCCGGUCUCAGUUCGGAUCGUAGGCUGCAACUCGCCUACAUGAAGCCGGAGUUGCUAGUAACCGCCGGUCAGCAUACGGCGGUGAAUAUGUUCCCGGGCCUUGUACACACCGCCCGUCACGUCAUGAAAGCUGGCAACACCCGAAGCCGGUGGGCCAACCGCAAGGAGGCAGCCGUCGAAGGUGGGGUUGGUGAUUGGGACGAAGUCGUAACAAGGUAGCCGU
rnacentral:rRNA from 1 species